UACCAGCACCCCGAGUGGUCGGGACGUUUAUUGGGCCUAAAGCAUCCGUAGCCGGUUCUACGAGUCUUCCGUUAAAUCCAACUGCUUAACAGGUGGGCUGCGGAAGAUACUAUAGAGCUAGGAGGCGGGAGAGGCAAGCGGUACUCGAUGGGUAGGGGUAAAAUCCGUUGAUCCAUUGAAGACCACCAGUGGCGAAGGCGGCUUGCCAGAACGCGCUCGACGGCGAGGGAUGAAAGCUGGGGGAGCAAACCGG
rnacentral:rRNA from 1 species